GUCAGUGUCAACAUACUUAUAUUGCUGUCAUUGUUAAUCUUUAUUAUCAUUGUGUUCCGCUAAAGUGAACUGAAAGUAUUUUCAAAUAACUAUGGCAGAAAGAGGUGUAGAUGAUAUUGCCGAAACAUCUAACAAAACGUGGUUGCAAGGAAAAAAUCUAAACCUACAAAAACUCCAGCCGAGAGACAGCGAGCUUACAGAUUAAAAAAAAAUUAAUGAAGGAAGCCCAAAAUAUUCUGGCAAUCAACCAAUCUUUUUUAAGUUAAAUGAACUCUUUUUGCGUCUGGUUAGACUAUCGAACUUAAACCUGAAUAACCUGGCAUGAGCAGUUGUGAUUUGUUGAGGGUUUUUCGUAAUUUAUUGGAGUAGAUUACCAUUUUGUGUACCCAUUGUUGGCCGCUUGUUUUCACAGAGAACACACUUAUCAGCAGACAACUGAUGAUUUAGAGCUAUUGUUUCUGAGCAGCAAAUUUAGUUGGUCAAUGGAGAGGUAGUGAAGAUAAUGAAAAAGGGGAUACAAUUAGAAACGGUAGGUGAGUAUGUAGCCAAGUUAACACGGAAUCUAUUCCGAUUAAAAAACAAAGGAAUUGAGACUUAAUAUAAUAUCAUUAUCCCAGAUUAUGAUUGAGUGAUGGAGACAUAUGUACAUACCUAUGUCAACCAAUCUGUUGGUAAUGUUUUUAAAUCUUCAAUUCAAAAUUUCUCCAAUACAACUGUUAGAGAAGCUAAUGAAAAUCAGAUCAAUAUCCAUUCUUGAUAAAAGCGAAGUGAUUCCGAACCACCAAUUCAAAUUCAAAGCGGAACAUGCUACCUUUGUGCAAAUACAAGAUCAAUCAUGCAAGAUCUGGAAGAUAAAAAGUACUGUUCCGGGAUAUUCCUGUAAAUCAAGCGCUAGAUUACUCUGGCAUUUGAUUCUACUUUACAAACUAAGAAAAUUCCUCUCCCCAAAUUAUUUCGUCGUUCCCAAUUCCUACUCUGAGGAUCGUUAUUUCAAGGUCAAGUAUCAAAAUAAAACAUCUAAUAUUAACGCAACUGUUUCACAAGAUUCACAACGUUUAUAUCAGAUGAAACACUUAACAUAUGCCGAUAACUUUGCUUUACUAGCCUAACUUUGAGAUCCUCAAACUGCAGACUGACUCAUUCAAACAAGAACACAUCAAUAACAAAGUUGAAUGAAAAGCCAAAAAUAGAGGAUGUUGAGGAAUGGAAGCAAACUCAUCAUUGAUAAAAAUCUUGCAAGAAUCUCUUGUACAGGCGAAGAAAAAUAACAGAAAAGGAUUGGUUUACUAAAAAGGAAAACCAAGACAGAUAUAGUGAAGCGAAAGAACUGGCAAAAACAGAAUGCCGAGAAAAGACGCAUGGAGGAGAAACUGAAAGCAAUAGAAGAAAAGAAUGUGAACAAAGAAAUGAGAAAUUUUCACCAAAAGGUUCCACCUCUUGGUGAAGAGCACAAAGUAGAAACUAAAGAGCAGUAAGACACUGUAGAAAUAAAUAUGUCGAUAAUAUACUGGGCGACAGAGAAAACUCUAAUAUCAUGGAUCAACAGUCAGCAGAACAGGAUGAUGGAAGAAAUUAGAAGAACCUUCAGACUCAGAGAUAAAACGUGAAAUAAGGCAAAUGAAAAUAAUUAAAUUGGAGCAUAAAAUGGUAUCACAGCAGAGAUUUUGAAAAUAGGUGAGAGAAAGCUGCAAAAAAGGAACUGCAGAUCGAUAAGAAAUAUUUGGGAAGAGGGGCGGUUACCAGAUGAUUGUAACAACGCUGUAAUAUGCCCUGUUUAUAAGAAAGGUGAGAAAAACUGCUAUGAAAACCACAGGGUAUAGCACUACUGGAUGUGAUCUACAAAGUUUGGAACAGGAUAAUAAGGAACAAUAGUAUGCCAAAAAGUGACUUACGUUCAAUUUGAGAAUGAUUCCUAGAUGUUAAUGUACUAUUGCUAGCAAUAAUCGUUGGAAGAUAUUCGCAAUAACUAAGUCACAUUGAUUAUGGAUGAUGAUCACAUGAUGAUAUCAUGUGAUGUCUAUGAUUCUAUAAUUUAUCAACUUUUACAGGUACCACAUGAGGUUGAGGUAAGUUAUGAAACUCUGUUAGAUGAUAUUAAUGGUGGAGGUCAAAUGAGUCAAUUAUUUGUUUAGGUGAACUGUCUUAACCAAGACAGAAUGGCAACUCAGUCAUAUUUGAAGUUGAAACCCCAGUAGAAAAGACUCUACAGUUUUCAGAAAGCUUACACAGGAAAGUAGUUGUUUUCUCCUCCUAUUUUCGAAAUAUUGAAUUUAGAAAUUAUUUCAGAGGUGACUAGUGGAAAUAUGAAUGAAGUGAAUGAGCCUAUUUCAAGUUUCAAAAUUUUCUAAGGUCUAAUUCAACACGACUUUAAUUGAUUUCCACCCUUUCCAUUCAACGUGUGUAAAUAUUGCCUACGGUUACAAAUAUGUACAAAUGUAGUUACCAGGUAGUGUUGUUUAUUUCACUUUGAACCUUGUAGAAUCGCAAAUAUGGUGGAUUUUCUAAAAAGAGAUUUGGGACGGUCAAAUAUUAAUACUGAGAAUUUAGCAGAAGUAUGGAUGGAAUAGAUUCUAAGGUCAGCUAAAUUGGACGUACAACUUUAUUAUAACAUCAGAGGCAGUAACUUAAUUACCUUGAUAAAAGUGAUUAUAGGGUAGUUAUAAUUUCUAGUUGGACAGAAACUAAUGUAAUGUGAAACGAAUCCCAGAAUGGUUAUUAACCUCAAUAAAGACAACAGCGAUACUAAAAUUAUUAUAGAAAAUGUGUUAUUCAUUUCAUAUCCAAAUUUUUAUCUGAGUUGUUCUACAAAAAUUGAUUGCGACAAUAUAUUUAAUUUGUAAUGUAUAUAUUUACCCUUGCCCCUUUGAAACUCUCCUUUCAUUUAUUUUCAAUCUUUUCUAAAAUUGAAGAGUGCCUCUCAAAAUAUAUUAAACUGUUUGAUUAUUCUCAGAGCUUUCAUGCCUGUUUAAAAUCGUGUUCUUUAUUGAAGUGAUUUAGUAAUUCUGUUAGUUAACGUAAAUAAACAACCAAGU